rnacentral:rRNA from 1 species
AUUGAACGCUGGCGGAAUGCUUUACACAUGCAAGUCGAACGGCAGCACGGGGGCAACCCUGGUGGCGAGUGGCGAACGGGUGAGUAAUACAUCGGAACGUGCCCAGUCGUGGGGGAUAACGUAGCGAAAGCUACGCUAAUACCGCAUACGAUCUAUGGAUGAAAGCGGGGGACCGUAAGGCCUCGCGCGAUUGGAGCGGCCGAUGGCAGAUUAGGUAGUUGGUGGGGUAAAGGCUCACCAAGCCUGCGAUCUGUAGCUGGUCUGAGAGGACGACCAGCCACACUGGGACUGAGACACGGCCCAGACUCCUACGGGAGGCAGCAGUGGGGAAUUUUGGACAAUGGGCGCAAGCCUGAUCCAGCCAUUCCGCGUGCAGGAUGAAGGCCUUCGGGUUGUAAACUGCUUUUGUACGGAACGAAAAGGCUCUUUCUAAUACAGAGGGCUCAUGACGGUACCGUAAGAAUAAGCACCGGCUAACUACGUGCCAGCCGCCGCGGUAACAC